rnacentral:rRNA from 1 species
GGGAGCGUAGACGGCAGUGCAAGUCUGGAGUGAAAGGCGGGGCUCAACCCCCGGACUGCUCUGGAAACUGUACAGCUGGAGUGCAGGAGAGGUAAGUGGAAUUCCUAGUGUAGCGGUGAAAUGCGUAGAUAUUAGGAGGAACACCAGUGGCGAAGGCGGCUUACUGGACUGUAACUGACGUUGAGGCUCGAAAGCGUGGGGAGCAAACAGG